AAAAAAGUAAACCUUAAGUUUUCGUAUCCAACAUUUAGCUAUCCGUCUUAUAUGAAAUUUUUUUAUAAUUAGUAUUUUCAUUGUUGUUAGAUGAUAAAACAUGAUUAAUAUUUUUAUGCGUGACUUGUCUUUUUAAUUUUUUUCAUAAUUUUUUCAAAUAAUACAGGCGGUCAAAUAUUGGACACGGAAAUCUAGGAUUUGUCUUUUU
rfam:Oryza rufipogon genomic scaffold, chr01